GAUGAACGCUGGCGGCGUGCCUAAUACAUGCAAGUCGAGCGAACGGACGAGAAGCUUGCUUCUCUGAUGUUAGCGGCGGACGGGUGAGUAACACGUGGAUAACCUACCUAUAAGACUGGGAUAACUUCGGGAAACCGUAGCUAAUACCGGAUAAUAUUUUGAACCGCAUGGUUCAAAAGUGAAAGACGGUCUUGUUGUCACUUAUAGAUGGACCCGCGCUGCAUUAGCUAGUUGGUAAGGUAACGGCUUACCAAGGCAACGAUGCAUACCCGACCUGAGAGGGUGCUCGGCCACCCUGGAACUGAGCCACGGUCCCGACUCCUACGGGAGGCAGCCGUAGGGAGUCUUCCGCGACGGGCGAAAGCCUGACUGAGCAACGCCGCCUGUGUGAUGAAGGUCUUCGGAUCGUAUAACUCUGUUAUUUGUGAAGAACAUAUGUGUAAGUAACUGUGCACAUCUUGACGGUACCUAAUCUGAAAGCCACGGCUAACUACGUG
rnacentral:rRNA from 1 species